rnacentral:rRNA from 3 species
UACCAGCACCCCGAGUGGUCGGGACGAUUAUUGGGCCUAAAGCAUCCGUAGCCGGUUCCUUAAGUCCUCCGUUAAAUCCACCUGCUUAACAGAUGGGCUGCGGAGGAUACUAUAGAGCUAGGAGGCGGGAGAGGCAAGCGGUACUCAGUGGGUAGGGGUAAAAUCCGUUGAUCCAUUGAAGACCACCAGUGGCGAAGGCGGCUUGCCAGAACGCGCUCGACGGUGAGGGAUGAAAGCUGGGGGAGCAAACCGG